CAUGGGUAAGACUAAGGGAAGAGAAUGGUGGCUGGGGCUUGAAUUAGAAGAUAUUUUGUGCUUAGGUAAGAUGUUUUGUGUGUCUAGGGCCCGAGGACCCAUAGAGCACAGGCUGUGGGAUGCACUGUUGGAGCAAUGGGCACGCUGUGUGGGUGGACACAGGGACAGUGAAUGGCCGAAGAUGUGGUAAGAGGUGGGGGGCAAGCCAUCAUGCUGCCUGGAGAUCCAAAAUGCCAGUGACAAUGCGUGUUGAGGAUGGGUCCAGGUGAGCGGCCCUGUAGGGAAAAUGAUCCCAGGAGGAUUAUCCACAGGAGCUCUGAUCCACCGAGCACGUGAUCAGUGCCAGACAGCAGGCUGGACACUUGUGGGCCGCUUCUUUCUCAUAACACUGGGAGUAGGUGUGUUUACCUCUGUUCUACAGAGGGGGAAACUAAGGCUAAGGUAACAGUAAUAACAAUGAAAUAAAAACAAUGACAAAGCUGGGCUGGAGCCAGGUCUGUCUGUGGGCGGAUUGCAGGUUCUUCACCUCCUGCCAGGGGACCAACCUCAAGCACUUUCUGCUCCAGAUCUUGAAGAGCCGUGUUGGGAUAUGGCUCUCUGCAGGGAGGGUGACAUCCCAGCCCUAUUCCUGCCACCCACAGGUCACCGUCCAUGCUUUGGUCUGGAGUGUCCUGACGUGUGUGUGCUGGACUCUGCUGGCACCUCUUUCUGUAGGGUCCAUCCUGGGGCAGGGGGGCCUCACUCAGUGCCCUCG
rnacentral:lncRNA from 10 species